UUGAUGUGCUUGUCUGGUCGUAGAAACACAGGGGGCGACCAAAGCUCCCUCAUGAACCCUAGCUUUGCAAUUUCACCAAAUUGACAGGGUAAAUCGGCUCCAAAUCGAAAUCCAAACUCAGAAUAGUGAUCACCUUCGGGAAAGGAUCAUAAGAAUGGGUUUUGCACGGUAGUUGAAUCUUCAAGCGGUCAAGUCGGAGCGGACGCACGCUUGAAGGAUAUGCUUUGAAAGGAAUAAAUAUCAAAUGGAUACACACAUCGCUAUUGCUUAGCGGCUACUAAGUCAAGAUAUAAUUUUAGCACCGGAGGACGAUCAAGCACAACGAAGAACCGAACUCGAUCAUGAAAUAAGCUUCCGCACUAUGUAUCGUUGUUAUGUGAAUUGACGAACUCACACAUGUAUGUUGUAAAGUUUUAAUUCUAUAAUAAAGUUUAAUGA
rnacentral:lncRNA from 1 species